UGAAAGCAUCCUCUGCUCUGUUCAUCACUCUGCUGAUCACACUGACAUCAUGCUGCUCUCCGUCUGCACUCUGCUCUCUGCUCUGGCGUGUAAGAUUCCUGCUGCUGCUUUCCUCUUCAACUGAUACCUUUUUAUUAUUUAUAAUUCUCUUUUAAAUGAUAAUGACACUCAGUGUUGCUUUAUGUUGCAGUGGUCAGUUCACACAAAGCUGUGACACAAAAGCCUUCGGUUAUAACAGCAGAUGUGGGUAAAACUGUCACUAUGGACUGUAACAUCGCAAAGGAUGACGGUUACUAUGUCUUUUGGUAUAAACAGAUUCCACAAGAAGCCCCAGAGUUUGUGUUGAGAUUUUAUCAUUCUCACGACUCUCCUAAUAAAUAUGGAGACAAUUUUUCAUCCACAAGUUUGAUAUCUAAAGCCUCUACAAAUAUUGAUUAUCAGUUAAUAAUCAGUAAUGUGAAGGUAGGAGACUCAGCAGUGUAUUACUGUUACACAUGGGACGUCUUUGCUAAAGAAUUCGUAUCACAGUGAUGUACACCAUGACAAAAACCUCCUCACUGCUCACACUCACUUCUGCUUUCACACAACACCAGAAAGAACAAAAACCUCAACUUCAAAUCAUUGGAACUGAAGUGGAAACUCACUUAAUGUUCACUGAAGACACUUUGAAUUCUUCACAUUUAAAGAUCACAGAUACGACCAAGAGACAUUUGUAACAGCAGGAUUCAAGGCCACACUGCUUCACUGGGAUCUCCACUGAAACGCUUAAACACUCAGUCAUAAUGUUUUCUCUACAAUCUUUGGACAAAUGGAUGCAGUGGAUUUCUAAGAUGUGGCAGUAAUUUGGACCAGAACUGUUCUGAACCGUGGCAUCAGGAAUGUGGGUCAGAGAGAAUCUCAGGAUUAUUUGGUCAUUUUAAUAAAAAAAUACAAAA